GAAACUCUGAUGCAGCAACGCCGCGUGGAGGAUGACGCAUUUCGGUGUGUAAACUCCUUUUAAGAGGGAAGAUUAUGACGGUACCUCUUGAAUAAGCACCGGCUAACUCCGUGCCAGCAGCCGCGGUAAUA
rnacentral:rRNA from 1 species